AAGAGAUCAACAUCGAUUUUAAAUUUUGAGUAUCAAUUUUCUACGCUCCGCCAUCUUGUCAUCUUCUACGAUUAUAAUCACGAUAUGUCUAUAAAACACAAAGGACCAAAACUACAGUAACCGAUGUAGUCGUAAUUGCGUGUCGAUAUCUUGUCAAUCGUACGAUUGUUUUAUCUGACUAACUAUAAACUUGAUACGGAAAAUGUUCUUAUUUUUUUUUAAAUGACCAUUAUUAUAUAUCUGUUAUUUUUAAACUGUUAAUAUUGGAAUUAGUUAAAGUCAAAGUUCAAAUAUAAAUAAGUGUUCCGUGAAAAUUGUUUUCAAAAAUCUAAUUCGUUCAUAAUUCUUUAAAGUAAUAAACUUUAUUCAAAUAAAUUCGGAUCUUUCCUCAUCUGAUCACCAGCAUGGCUAAAGGUAUUACUCCCAAAGGUAUUGUGAGGGGUGUGAGGACUCAGGUGACACGUCCAGGUAUUCAAGCGAUUUCCUGUCGGGCUUGCAAGUUCAUGCAUCGUUUCACUUCUGUAGGUAUUGAUCAGUGUACACGGCAGACUUAUAACUUUCCAUUUUGAA
rnacentral:lncRNA from 1 species